rnacentral:lncRNA from 1 species
AUUGUUACCCGCUGCCUCUGGUCUCAGGACCUCUGUCACCUGGCAACAAACCUGUUGCCUGGAUACGCCACACCGUUUCCUAUUUCCAUUGGAUCAGACCAAAGCAGAGUUGAAAGACUUGUAUCUCCUGAUGGGGAGGUGAGGGUGAUGAUUUUAAACAAGGAGAGCUGAGGUAAAGGUAGCACUGCCUUGGGCCACAGUGUUUUAAGUGGGAGCCCCCUGCCUCUGUCAUCAAGCCAUUAAAAUAUGUG